CUAGGCCCCGCCUGCUCUAUUUAAGUCGCGGGACUCAAUAUGGCGGCGCGCGCUCGGCCGCUUGACCCCGGUGUCCCCUAAAGCGGGUAAGGGAUGAAACUUUCUCAUCUCGAGUCAUGCUGUUUUCGGAAACGUAGGGAUGCGUUUUAAUUUCUAUGCGCCACCCGUGGGUCGGCCCUCACCUGCGAGUCGGCUGACCGUGAACGACCCUCACUUGCUGUGCACCGGAAGGGCUUGGUCUUCUUGGCCUCUGUUUCCCGGAAGUGGUUUCCCUCCACCUCCUCAGGAGGGCCGGCCUUCCCUAAGGGCGGAGUCUAGGGCUUCUUUGGGACUGAAUAUGCAUUAGCUUUUGGAAGUCCAGCUUUGAUUUUCCCCUAAGCAUUGCUACAAAGGCCGGACUGCGGCUCUGGGCACCGUUCACAUCCUCGGCCGCCUUUGGCUUUGUGACCUUGGGCCGGUUGUAUAAGCUCUCUGAGCUUCCCAGGUGACUUCUCUGCAAAGUGGGCUGGUAACGCCCGAGUUGGUGCUAAAUCCUAAAGUUCAUGCUGCGAACCGGGCCCUCAGCAGAUCAGCCUCUGUUUGGUCUGGUGGCAGGCCCCACGGGCUCCUGAGAGACGUGAGAAGCAGCUUUGUAUGGGAGCCACCUCUGCUCGCGUUUCCACCCAGAAUCAAAGGACUGACUGACCAUUCUUUCAAUCCCUAAGCGGUGUCUUUUCUAUCUAAUCCUAAUAACCAAGCCUGGAGGAAUUGUAGACUUUCUGGUUGAAGGUUCAACAGGUCUCCUCGUUUAAGGAUAGAGUUAAGUCUCAGUGAAGCUACAGAGGAGAAUCUGAAAAAUGCAAAUGUUACUACCUUAACGGAAAGAGGGAGGAGGGGGCGCUUUCCUAAAUGGCCUUUACCUUGGACCUUUUCUUUCUCCUGGCAUUUGGGCUGCCAGGGAUCUUGCUUCUGCCCCACCAACACACUGAAAGCAAGAGCUCUUGACGUGAUGACUAAGGAAAAGAAUUUGGUUUUCAUUUGGAGACAGCUGAUUCUGAAGCCAUCUUAAAGCCUAAGCAUAGCACAACUGCAUUCAUGAUUCUAUGAAUUCUUUCCUACCAUUGGAACUUAGGGAAGGGGAGAGGAAGUGUGCAUCUAGGAAAUGUGGAAGGACAAGCUCUUCGUUCUUUCAUCCUUCCGCUGCCUUCUAACUCUGUGGUCGAGUGUGGUCUUCCCAGGAGAGCAUCUUCCAGGAAACUUAUUAGAAAGGAAGAACCCCAGGCCUCAUUUCACAUCUGAAGCAGAGUCUGCCUUGUAGCCGACUCCUCAGCCAUUGCUAGGCAUGCUAAAGUUGACAAGGCCCUGGUUUAACUCCUGGGGUGGUCUGGUUUAAAGUGAUGAGAUGGCAUCAAAGAUGACGGAAGGACAGAGUCCACAGAGCCAGAAUUUGGGGCAGUGGAGGCAGAGCACCUAUUUCCUGCAUUUGGGCACUGCCAGCAGGUUGAUUCAGAAGAUGGGUGAAAAAUUUGUUCCUGGGGUAGCAGGAGGAGCACCACGACUUUGGAAUCUUUUGCUUAAAAGAAGGAUGAGCUCGGCUGUUCAUACCAUACAUCCCGGAGGUCUUCAGCAAGGUGAGGUUCCUCUGACCAAGAAGCCGGCUGCCCAGAUGCACUAAGCACUAAGCAAUAUGCCUCCCUCGCAUAUUCCGGAUUUGCUGGCUGGCUGAUCUCCAAGCUUGUCCAUCAGCCAGAAAGCAUGUAUUCUGCAAAUCACAACUGGAAAUCAUCCCUGGAGCCAGGCCAGGCUGCCCGUUUCGGAAGAUAAAGUGUGCUCCACGUGGGAAUCACAGCGACAGAAUGGAUGUGUUUUAUUUUUCAUAAUGCUUGAGCCGUAAAUGUGAGCUAACGAGAGAGAGCGCCUGUCAAAUACCUCACAGGUUAGGUGGGUAGUGGACAUGCCAAAUACAGUCCUUUCUCUUCUUCUUGUACCUCUUUUCUCCCUUCACUUUGCAAGUGAAGACGUAACGUGUUAGGGAUGGUUACCUAAAGCUUCUGAAAGGUCGUCAGUACGACACGGGGCGUGUGUGUGUGUGUGUGUGUGUGUGUGUGUGUGUGUGUAUAGGAUUACAGUGUCUAAUGGUACAUUUCCUGGGGACUAAGUUUAAGCUAUGCAAAAUGACAAGAGCAGUCUAAUGAUCACAAUGUAACACGCUGUCAAUUGAAGUGUAACUGCUUACCCUAAUGCCCCGUUGAAAGCUGAUAAGCAACUCUGCUUCGGAUACAAUGUAACGCCUAUCUUAGGACCACCUGAAGUGCAUGAGCAUCAAAGGUGGGAGCAAGGCCGAGGCCUUGAACACGUCCAUGACUCCACCACUGCUAGUAAGUACAUUUCUGAAUCCACCUCCACCAACUCCAUCAGGGCUUUAAACCCCCUUCUGCUGGAGCUUUUCCCCCGAUCUUGUAACUGAGCCGAUGCCUUAUGGGGCUCCUGGGCACACGAGCCUCGCUGUGUCCUCCAUGGCUUGUUUUUAGGAAGGAAGCCUCAGCCUCCAUGACCUCCCCUAAGUUCCAAAGGGCAGGUUUACACAGAUGCAAGUCAGGGAAGGGAGGGGAAGCAGAGACUGGAGAGGAGGAGCCUUCAAGACGCAGUGGUGCAGGAGCGCCCGUCGUGGCUCUGUGGACUCAAAGCUGACUAGCAUCCAUGAGGACGCAGGUUUGAACCUUGGCCUCUCGCAGUGGGUUAAGCAUCUGACGUUGCCAUGAGCUGUGGUGUAGGUUGCAGAUGCAGCUCAAUCUGAUGUUGCUGCAGCUGUGGCGUAGGCCGGCAGCUGCAGCGCCAAUUCAACCCCGAGCCUGGGAGCUUCCAUAUGCUGCAGGGUCAGCCCUAAAAAGCCAAAAAAGAAAAAAAAAAAACCAAAAAAACAAAAAAACAAUGGUGCAGCUUUGGGGGCAGGGUCUUGGUCCCUCCUCACGGAAUAUGGAUAACAAUAUCUUUGAGUUCUUCUACAGAAGAAAACCCCCCAAGGAGUCAAAGAUGUUAAUGAAGCCUUCUUUAUUCCAGAAAGAAGACCUCUGAACACCAACUUUGAAAACAAUGCAAGCUUGCCUCUAUGCUGAUCCUUAUCUGCAGCCCUAUUUUUCACUCCCAAAACUAUAGAACCACCUCCCAGUCUCUCCUGGGGGGGGGGGGGCACAGUCUUUAAGGCAUGAGCCUGCUGUGACCCUCCUUGGCCUGGCAAAGCAAUAAAGCUAUUUUUUUCCCUCCUUCGCCCACAACUCUUGUCUCUGCAUUUCUGUUCGGCACCGAUGACAGAGGCUAAGUUCUGGCAGGAAUGUUAUUGAGGAUAUAGAAAUGGCUCUUAUUGUUAGUAUGGGAAAAGAAAGAAAGAAAUAAGCUGCAUACAGCACGUGACAUAAAUGCAUACUGAUGAAAGUGCCCAGGUGAUACUUGUGUGUAAUUUUAGCCAUACUUGUAUUUAUUUAAUUUUUUUUUAAUUGAUAAUCUGGUGAAUGAGACAGGGCGGCCUUUAAGAAGAUGCCAGGAUUUAGGAGAUACGUAUUUUGUACUUCAGUAUACUACGGCAUUUCUAGAUCCAAAAUUUUUUGUUAUUCCAGUGCACAGCAGACUAGAAUUGUCUUUUCUGGGUGCACGAUACAAGCUAAAAUCAGCAAAGGUCAGUGGGAUGUCAUGAAUUUCCGAGAGGGGUUAGAAGUCUAAAAUUAAUAAUUCCAUCACCAGUUAACCUGCCAACUAAAAAAUGUUGUUAGAUCCUGUGCAUGUGCAGCGUCGGAGGAUCGUAGGAUGUUUGUUCAUGACUGGAAUUCCUUGUCAAGCCACUCUGAGAACAUGUGAUUUUUGAGACCUUGCCCCGUAACAACCAAGCAAGAUGCCAGGCCCGUGUUACACAGAGUGAAAUUGGAUUGCCUGUCAAUUAGCAAGGCCAAGUUAGACUAGCACUGUGUAGCCUUACAUGGUCUCUGACUUAGAUGUGGGACACGAGUGACGUGAAGGGGGCCAGUCGGGAGACAGAUAAUGCAAAAACACUCGAGGUGGCUUUGCUUGAGACGACUGAAGAGCUAUUCCCAUACCAGGCAGGUGGGUGAUGGUUGAAAUAUGAAAUGCAUGGAAAUAAAAACAUCGCAUUAAAUCUCAUGGCUUUGUGUGACUCUCUUCUUUAAAAGCAAUUACUGUGGCAGUAGGACCGGUGGCAUCUAUGCAGCACCGGGACGUAGGUUCCAUCCCCGGCCCGGUGCAGGGGGUUAAAGGAUCUGGCGUUGCUGCAGCUGUGGUGUAGGAUCUGAUCCUGGGAUCUCCAUAUGCUGUAGGGCAGCCAAAAAUUAAAUACAUAAAUAUUUUUAAAAAACAAAAACAAAUUAUCAGGGACAAUUAUAAAUGAGGGAGGACAGAAUCGCCUAGACCAAAGCGGAAGAAAGCCUUUAAAGGGCACACUGCACUUAAAUUAAACCCAGAUCUGGGGACAUUGUGUAGAGAAGUGACCAGCAUUCCCUUGUCACAUGGAUUGGUGCCCACGAAUGAAGAGCAUGGAAGCUUCCUGAGGCCCGGCCUGCUCUUCUCGCUCUUUCUGCUGUUUCCUCUUGGAAUCCAGGCACGUGCGUGGCGUGCUCUUUUGCAUCGUGGCCACUCAGCAGAUUGGAUUCCGUGUUUAAGAAUCUGAUGGAGGUGCAGUGGGUUCCUGCCAUGGUGCAGGGGCUUAAGGACCUGGCAUUGCCGCAGCUGCAGCUGAGAUGCGAUCCCUGGCCCCGGGAACUUCUGUAUGUCACGGGUGCAGCUGAAAAAGGAAAAAAAAAAAAAGAAUCCAAUGGAAUCAUUUCAUAAGCUCUAAAACCAGAAGGUAUUUGAGCUGCCAUCCUUUUCAAAGUCAGUAAAGUGCUGUGUCGGGGAAGCAGCAGAGCUUUUCUCCUGUCCUUUUAAGUUACGGACUGGGCGCCCUCUCACAAAAGACAGAGUAACAAGAAAAAGGACACACAUUUAUGUGGUGUAAGCUCUAUGUGACAGGCAGCCUUCGCAGAGAUGAGGGCCUGAAGAAAUGGUUGAACCCGAGUAUUUUUACA